rnacentral:rRNA from 1 species
AUUGAACGCUGGCGGCAGGCCUAACACAUGCAAGUCGAGCGGAGCGGCGGACGGGUGAGUAAUGCCUAGGAAUCUGCCUGGUAGUGGGGGAUAACGUUCGGAAACGGGCGCUAAUACCGCAUACUAUCAGAUGAGCCUAGGUCGGAUUAGCUAGUUGGUGGGGUAGAGGCCUACCAAGGCGACGAUCCGUAACUGGUCUGAGAGGAUGAUCAGUCACCCUGGAACUGAGAAACGUUCCAGACUCCUACGGGAGGCAGCAGUGGGGAAUAUUGGAACAUGGGCGAAAGCCUGAUCCAGCCAUGCCGGGUGUGUGAAGAAGGUCUUCGGGUUGUAAAGCACUUUAAGUUGGGAGGCGUUACCAACAGAAUAAGCACCGGCUAACUUCGUGCCAGCAGCCGCGGUAAUUC